rnacentral:rRNA from 1 species
GAUGAACGCUAGCGGCAGGCUUAACACACGCAAGUCGUGGGGCAGCGCGAGGUAGCAAUACUUUGGCGGCGACCGGCAAACGGGUGCGGAACACGUACGCAACCUUCCUCAGAGCGGGAAUAGCCUCUCGAAAGAGAGAUUAAUACCCCAUAGUAUCUCGAAACUGCAUGGUUUUGAGAUUAAAAGCUUCGGCACUUUGAGAUGGGCGUGCGGCUGAUUAGGUAGUUGGUAGGGUAACGGCUACCAAGCCAACGAUCAGUAGCUGAUGUGAGAGCAUGAUCAGCCACACGGGCACUGAGACACGGGCCGACUCCUACGGGAGGCAGCAGUGAGGAUAUGUCAUGGAGGAAACUC